GAAUAAGAUCUGGCUAUGACAUCAGUAAUCCUAUUGAUCUCCAGGUUCAUUGGGCUGAUCUGGUUGGCUGGGUGAGCAUCUCCUUCCUUCAUUCUCCACUUUUUUAUAUUGUUCCUGAAGAUGCAUUCUGAAUUGAAGAAGAGAACUCUCUCCAGUAGAGGAGGACCCACCUUUCAUGAAGGGUGUAUGAGUAGCUGUGUUCCCCUCAGAACACCAAACCCAUCUAUAUUCAUUCUUUUUAAGGCUUUUAUUAAAUUGUAUGGACAUUAAGGGUGUGGAGAUGAGAGAACAACUUGCCAGAGUUGGUUCUC
rnacentral:snRNA from 1 species